rnacentral:rRNA from 1 species
UAACGGGGCUAAAUCGUACACCGAAGCUUGGGAAUAUCAGUUAUUCUUCAUGGACUUGCUAAGGUAAGACACCAUGGCACGGAGUGCCAUCAAAUUGUCCAUAAGGAUAAAGCGAGCUUGUGAAGAAUAACUGAUGCUUGGUAGGAGAGCGUUGAAUGCGGGGUGAAGUCAGAGCGAAAGCGCUGGUGGACUGCAUUGAAGUGAGAAUGCCGGAAUGAGUAGCGAGAUUUAUGUGAGAAUCAUAAAGGCCGAAAGACUAAGGUUUCAGAAGGAAGGUUCGUCCGCUUCUGGUUAGCCGGGAGCUAAGGUGAGGCCGAAAGGCGUAGCCGAUGCACAUACGGUGGAGAUUCCGUAGCCGUCGAAAUAUUUAAGCAAAGGGACACUUAUGAAGGACAUGACCCGGGCGAUGGUAGCCCCGGGCGUAAGGGACUGAAAACAAGUAAGGAAGCAUGUUUGGAUUAAGGCGAGAAAAGCUUUGUGUAUAUAUGAGACGUCCGUACCGCAAACCGACACAGGUAGUCAGGAAGAGGAUUCUAAGGCCAACGGGAGAAGGGUAGUUAAGGAACUCGGCAAAUUGACCCCGUAACUUCGGGAUAAGGGGCGGUGCGCAAGCACCCGCAGUGAAUAGGUCCAGGCGACUGUUUAUCAAAAACACAGCUCUCUGCUAAAUCGAAAGAUGACGUAUAGGGGGUGACACCUGCCCGGUGCUGGAAGGUUAAGAGGAGGAGUGCAAGCUCCGAAUUGAAGCCCCAGUAAACGGCGGCCGUAACUAUAACGGUCCUAAGGUAGCGAAAUUCCUUGUCGGGUAAGUUCCGACCCGCACGAAUGGUGUAACGAUCUGGACGCUGUCUCAACUGCCCACCCGGCGAAAUUGUAGUACCGGUGAAGAUGCCGGUUACCCGCGGCAAGACGGAAAGACCCCAUGGAGCUUUACUGUAACUUGAUAUUGGGUCUUGGUAUUCUAUGUACAGGAUAGGCGGGAGACUGAGAAACAUACACGCCAGUGUAUGCGGAGUCACCCUUGGGAUACCGCUCUUAGAGUACUGAGAUUCUAACCUGCGGCCGUGAAUCCGGUCGGGGGACAUUGUCAGGUGGGCAGUUUGACUGGGGCGGUCGCCUCCUAAAAGGUAACGGAGGCGCUCAAAGGUUAGCUCAGCACGGUCGGAAACCGUGCCUCUGAGUGUAAACGCAAAAGCUAGCCUAACUGCGAGGCUGACGGGCCGAGCAGUAACGAAAGUUGGAGUUAGUGAUCC